GACGAACGCUGGCGGCGUGCUUAACACAUGCAAGUCGUACGGUAAGGCCCUUUCGGGGGUACACGAGUGGCGAACGGGUGAGUAACACGUGAGUAACCUUCCCACAACUUUGGGAUAACGCUAGGAAACUGGUGCUAAUACUGGAUAUGUGCUCCUUCUGCAUGGUGGGGGUUGGAAAGCUCCGGCGGUUGUGGAUGGACUCGCGGCCUAUCAGCUUGUUGGUGGGGUAGUGGCCUACCAAGGCGGCGACGGGUAGCCGGCCUGAGAGGGUGACCGGCCACAUUGGGACUGAGAUACGGCCCAGACUCCUACGGGAGGCAGCAGUGGGGAAUAUUGAACAAUGGGCGCAAGCCUGAUGCAGCAACGCCGCGUGCGGGAUGACGGCCUUCGGGUUGUAAAACGCUUUCAGCAGGGACGAAGCUUUUUGUGACGGUACCUGCAGAAGAAGCACCGGCUAACUACGUG
rnacentral:rRNA from 1 species